GCGGAAACGAGUUUCUGAACCUUCGGGGAACGAUAACGGCGUCGAGCGGCGGACGGGUGAGUAAUGCCUGGGAAAUUGCCCUGAUGUGGGGGAUAACUAUUGGAAACGAUAGCUAAUACCGCAUAACGUCUACGGACCAAAGAGGGGGACCUUCGGGCCUCUCGCUUCAGGAUAUGCCCAGGUGGGAUUAGCUAGUUGGUGAGGUAAUGGCUCACCAAGGCGACGAUCCCUAGCUGGUCUGAGAGGAUGAUCAGCCACGCUGGAACUGAGACACGGUCCAGACUCCUACGGGAGGCAGCAGUGGGGGAAUAUUGCACAAUGGGCGCAAGCCUGAUGCAGCCAUGCCGCGUGUAUGAAGAAGGCCUUCGGGUUGUAAAGUACUUUCAGUCGUGAGGGAAGGCAAUACAGU
rnacentral:rRNA from 1 species